GUCUUUUUGAUUAUAAUUUAAGGUUUGACCUGCUCAAUGAAUUUUAAAUAGCUGCAGUAUUUUGACUGUACAAAGGUAGCAUAAUCAAUAGUUUUUUAAUUGGAAGCUGGAAUGAAUGGUUUAAUGAAAUAUAAACUGUAUUAAAUUUAAAAAUAUAUAAUUUUUUUUUUAGUUAAAAAACUUAAAUGAAAUUAAAAGACGAGAAGACCCUAUAGAUUUUUAUAAAUUAAAAAUUAAAUAAUAAUUUAAAUUAAUAUAAUUUAAAAUUUAAUUUAUUUGAUUGGGGUGAUUAUUAAAUUUAUAAAACUUUAAUUUUAAAAACAUAAAUUAAUGAAUAAUUGAUCUUAUUUUAUAGAUUAUAAGAAUAAAUUACCUUAGGGAUAACAGCGUAAUUUUUUUAGAGAGACCAUAUUGAUAAAAAAGAUUGC
rnacentral:rRNA from 1 species